CUUUUCUCCUAUGAAUCAACCUGAAAAACGGACGACUGUAUCCGUCUCAUCGAUGGGUCCUCUAUUACAAUCCCUAAGCUUCACGCCUCGUUAGAGCUCUAGCUAAAAAAACUCUCAAGAAAAGGCUUAAAGGAGCUUAUAUUCAUGCAACAGAAAAACCUCAAAAUGUGCUCAAAGAGUACUGCCACGGCUACCAAUACCUCUGAAGUGCAAAUCUUGAAGUUCUCUUUCCUUCAAUAUAAGGAUGGAUGAGUACAAUCUUCUGGAAAUUCAAGACAAGCAUGUCCAGAAAACGAAAAAAGAUUGUCUAUGCAUGAAAGAGAAAAGGAGAAGGUGAAUGCCUUCGUAUCAAUUGGUUCGGGCAGCCAUGUUGAGAACAACUGGGUUAUAUUAGAUCUACACGCGUGGACAUGCAUAUUGUUUAGAACUUGAACUGAUAUGGAAUGCUUAGAGCCAUGGGAUCAAGUGCCUGGUGUAUUUCUUUUUCUAAAAUGUAAAUAGGCAUGAUUUGUUUGGCUUUGUGCCUUUGGAUGUAGGGAAUU